CAUGUCAUCGAUGGAGUACUUCCUUUCCUACUGAUAUAUGAGUAGUUAAAAGUCAGUCAACAUCCUUCAUUAUCAAGGAAAUUGGCCCACUGUAUUGAUGUUACGAAAGCGACAACAUUAUCUUGUUGCUUUUCAUGUGCUUGUGCUUUAUUCAUCAUUAUCUUUUGACUCCUUUUCUCCCACUUCAUGGAAAGUAGAAUAUAAGCCACAGUUUCGUCAUUGUCCAUUUCACAUUAUCACCAAUUUUCACUUCCUGGCCAUUUCCACCUGUGGAGAGAAGAGUUCAAAAGAGAGAGAAUUACUUCUCUAUUGUGUUCUUCUUUCCUGUUCUUCUUCUUCAUCAUAAGUGUGGUGUGGUCCACCUGUGUAGAUGGCUUGCAUCAUUCUCCACUCCUACCAGAGGAUUUGACAGUGCUCCCUCGGCUCAAUUCACCUACAACAGAACAGGGAGAGACCUCUUUAUCAUAGAAAUCUAUUCAUGCGAUUGUAACCUCACCAAGCGUCAGAAUCAGAGGCCUCCAAGAGGGCAGAUCAGUGGGACCAGCCGGUUACAGAAUACAUUGAGGCCGCUGAAGGAUAUCUCGGGUAUCAACAGCCAGGUUCGGUGUACCGAUUCACAGAUGCUGGGAAUGGUGACAAAAGAAUGGAGUUGAUACUCAUGUGCAAUGUCUGUACUUGUCAUGGACAUUUAAGAAGCAAGGAGUAAAGUUAGAAUGGUGAUAGAGAUGCUAGCCUUCAUCUGAGAGUAACCAAACUACAACUGUAAUCCUGGAUUUUCUUAUGAAUGCAAAUAUAUGACUGAUUGUGACCCCUUUCAUCCUUGAUAGCCAUCCAUCAGUUUUAUUUAGUUUUAUGUUAACGUUUUCAACUUUCUGUGAACUUCUGUAUUUUUAAUCCUUUUUUGGCUCUUUUGAAGUUUGCAUAUAGAGUUUGUAAGUCUACAUGCAUGUAGAAGGCAGCUAGCUAUACACGCCACACUUGAUAGCAUUACAAAUUGAUAUGAGAUCCAAUCCAUCCAUCGAAGGUGUAACAUUGUAGAUGCUCUCACUCAAUAAUCAGGUCGGUCCACUUAUCAGGAAGAAGUUGUUAGCAAGAUGCAGUCAUUUGAGAGAUUGAAAGCUGAAGCUGAAAAAUGCUUAGCACAAAGUGAGAAGUUUAAAUAUGAGAAGGCAGAAUUUGAAUCUGCUGUCCAUGCAAAGUUUGUUGGGGCCUUGAAUUCCAAGAAAGUGAAAUUCCGUGAGCUCCGAGAUCAAUUUUCAAAACUCAAAACUAGUGGGAAAUUGCUGCAAAAAGAGGAAGUCCACUGACAGAACCGAGAUAUACAAUGCAGAAGCAAUGAUGUGGAAACCAAGGAACAACCUGUGAAGAAGGAUCCUUCCCGCACUUCAAAGAACACUACAACGAUGACGUCAAAGGGUCAAAAGAGAAAAAUGUGCUUGUAGCUAUUGUCCUGACUGGCAAAAGUCUCAUAACAAAAUCCAACACGGAUGUUUUUGUUUUUGUAUCAGUGUUUAUAGAGAAGUUAUUGUUACAAAUGCAAGUCAAAAUCCCAUAGGCAUUUAAGUAGAGACCUUCAAAACCCAAUAUCUCUUUUGAGUGUGGCCUAUUACUGACAAAUUUUUAAGGGACUUUGAAUGUCCUGUUUUGAGUACAAGGGAUUGGAGAGAGGGACUGUUGAACUCGACCAUCAAAUAAAAUUUUUAAAUGAUGGGAAGAUCCUAACCAUCUGUCUUGCAGUAAAAGAAGUAUCAGGGGCGUUUGGAAGGUU